UACGUAGGAUGCAAGCGUUGUUCGGAAUUACUGGGCGUAAAGCGCGUGUAGGCGGCCAUCUAAGUCGGGCGUGAAAUCCCACGGCUCAACCGUGGAAGUGCACUCGAAACUGGAUGGCUAGAGUCCUGGAGAGGAAGGUGGAAUGCUUGGUGUAGAGGUGAAAUUCGUAGAUAUCAAGCGGAACACCGGGUGGCGAAGGCG
rnacentral:rRNA from 1 species